CAAACGGUGGCGUUUUGCUCGCUGAAAGGAAAUAAUCUUAUUGGUGCAUGGCGCUACAGUGCACAUGCAUACGUAUGAACUCAAAAAUCUGGGCAGGCAUCAAUUGGGAUUUAGGGUUUAUGCUACAGUGAUGCAUCUUCAUCACCUUCAAAUCGAAUUUCAGAAAAAAUCCCAGAAAUACAAAUUGAAAACAUAGAAACGUUCAGCAAGGCAAGACAAGCAACAAUCCAUCAUCAGUUUUCA
rnacentral:lncRNA from 1 species